GCUCUCGUAGUUCAACGGAUAGAACGGACCCGUCCUAAGGGUUUGAUAGAGGUUCAAUUCCUCUCGAGAGCA
rnacentral:tRNA from 1 species